rnacentral:sRNA from 1 species
UAGAGACGGCGCACAACCUGAUCCGGUCC